UACAGAGGUCUCAAGCGUUGUUCGGAUUCAUUGGGCGUAAAGGGUGUGUAGGUGGCGCCGUAAGUCGGGUGUGAAAUCUCGGGGGCUUAACUCCGAAACUGCAUUCGAUACUGCGGUGCUUUGAGGACUGGAGAGGAGACUGGAAUUCAUGGUGUAGCAGUGAAAUGCGUAGAGAUCAUGAGGAAGACCAGUGGCGAAGGCGGGUCUCUGGACAGUUCCUGACACUGAGACACGAAGGCCAGGGGAGCAAACGGG
rnacentral:rRNA from 1 species